rnacentral:rRNA from 1 species
CGGGCGGACGGGUGAGUAACGCGUGGGUAACCUGCCUCAUACAGGGGGAUAACAGUUAGAAAUGACUGCUAAUACCGCAUAAGACCACAGCACCGCAUGGUGCGGGGGUAAAAACUCCGGUGGUAUGAGAUGGACCCGCGUCUGAUUAGCUAGUUGGUAAGGUAACGGCUUACCAAGGCGACGAUCAGUAGCCGACCUGAGAGGGUGACCGGCCACAUUGGGACUGAGACACGGCCCAG